UACGGAGGAUGCGAGCGUUAUCCGGAUUUAUUGGGUUUAAAGGGUGCGUAGGCGGACGCUUAAGUCAGCGGUAAAAUUGCGGGGCUCAACCUCGUCGAGCCGUUGAAACUGGGUGUCUUGAGUGGGCGAGAAGUACGUGGAAUGCGUGGUGUAGCGGUGAAAUGCAUAGAUAUCACGCAGAACUCCGAUUGCGAAGGCAGCGUACCGGCGCCCAACUGACGCUGAAGCACGAAGGCGUGGGUAUCGAACAGG
rnacentral:rRNA from 1 species